rnacentral:rRNA from 1 species
CCUAUGGGAGGCAGCAGUGAGGAAUAUUGGUCAAUGGUCGGGAGACUGAACCAGCCAAGCCGCGUGAGGGAGGAAGGUACAGAGGAUUGUAAACCUCUUUUGUCGGGGAACAAAAGCGGGGACGUGUCCCCGGCUGCGUGUAUCUGAAGAAAAAGCAUCGGCUAACUCCGUGCCAGCAGCCGCGGUAAUACGGAGGAUGCGAGCGUUAUCCGGAUUUAUUGGGUUUAAAGGGUGCGCAGGCGGUCUGUUAAGUCAGCGGUAAAAUCGCGGGGCUCACCCCCGGCGAGCCGUUGAAACUGGCAGUCUCGAGUUGGAGAGAAGUAUGCGGAAUGCGCGGUGUAGCGGUGAAAUGCAUAGAUAUCGCGCAGAACUCCGAUUGCGAAGGCAGCGUACCGGCGCCACACUGACGCUGAGGCACGAAAGCGUGGGGAUCGAACAGGAUUAGAUACCCGAGUAGUC